AUAUUGCACAAUGGGCGCAAGCCUGAUGCAGCGACGCCGCGUGAGGGAUGACGGCCUUCGGGUUGUAAACCUCUUUCAGCAGGGAAGAAGCGAAAGUGACGGUACCUGCAGAAGAAGCGCCGGCUAACUACGUGCCAGCAGCCGCGGUAAUACGUAGGGCGCGAGCGUUGUCCGGAAUUAUUGGGCGUAAAGAGCUUGUAGGCGGUUUGUCGCGUCUGCUGUGAAAGCCCGGGGCUUAACUCCGGGUUUGCAGUGGGUACGGGCUAACUAGAGUGCAGUAGGGGAGACUGGAAUUCCUGGUGUAGCGGUGAAAUGCGCAGAUAUCAGGAGGAACACCAAUGGCGAAGGCAGGUCUCUGGGCUGUAACUGACGCUGAGAAGCGAAAGCAUGGGGAGCAAACAG
rnacentral:rRNA from 1 species